rnacentral:rRNA from 1 species
AGAGUUUGAUCCUGGCUCAGGAUGAACGCUAGCUACAGGCUUAACACAUGCAAGUCGAGGGGCAGCAUAUAGAUAGCUUGCUAUUUAUGAUGGCGACCGGCGCACGGGUGAGUAACGCGUAUCCAACCUUCCCUAUACUAGAGAAUAGCCCGGCGAAAGUCGGAUUAAUGCUCUAUGUUCUUCUUUGAUGGCAUCUGACGAGAAGCAAAGGUUUACCGGUAUAGGAUGGGGAUGCGUCUGAUUAGGUUGUUGGCGGGGUAACGGCCCACCAAGCCUACGAUCAGUAGGGGUUCUGAGAGGAAGGUCCCCCACAUUGGUACUGAGACACGGACCAAACUCCUACGGGAGGCAGCAGUGAGGAAUAUUGGUCAAUGGGCGAGAGCCUGAACCAGCCAAGUAGCGUGCAGGAUGACUGCCCUAUGGGUUGUAAACUGCUUUUAUAGGGGAAUAAAGUGAGGUAUGCAUACCUUUUUGUAUGUACCCUAUGAAUAAGGACCGGCUAAUUCCGUGCCAGCAGCCGCGGUAAUACGGAAGGUCCGGGCGUUAUCCGGAUUUAUUGGGUUUAAAGGGAGCGCAGGCGGGAUUUUAAGCGUGUUGUGAAAUGUACCGGCUCAACCGGUGACUUGCAGCGCGAACUGGAGUCCUUGAGUGAGUACGACGUCAGCGGAAUUCGUGGUGUAGCGGUGAAAUGCUUAGAUAUCACGAAGAACUCCGAUUGCGAAGGCAGCUGACGAGUCCUUAACUGACGCUAAAGCUCGAAAGUGCGGGUAUCGAACAGGAUUAGAUACCCUGGUAGUCCGCACGGUAAACGAUGGAUGCCCGCUGUUGGCGAUAUAUUGUCAGCGGCCAAGCGAAAGCGUUAAGCAUCCCACCUGGGGAGUACGCCGGCAACGGCAAACUCAAAGGAAUUGACGGGGGCCGCACAAGCGGAGGAACAUGUGGUUUAAUUCGAUGAUACGCGAGGAACCUUACCCGGGCUUGAACUGCCAGCGAACGAUUCAGAGAUGAUGAGGUCUUCGGGACGCUGGUGGAGGUGCUGAAUGGUUGUGGUGAGUU